GACGAACGCUGGCGGCGUGCUUAACACAUGCAAGUCGAGCGGUAAGGCCCUUUCGGGGUACGACGAGCGGCGAACGGGUGAGUAACACGUGGGUGACCUGCCCUCAGCUCUGGGAUAAGCCUGGGAAACUGGGUCUAAUACUGGAUAUGACUCCACGGUGCAUGUCGUGGGGUGGAAAGCCUUGUGCGGCUGAGGAUGGGCCCGCGGCCUAUCAGCUUGUUGGUGGGGUGAUGGCCUACCAAGGCGACGACGGGUAGCCGGCCUGAGAGGGCGACCGGCCACACUGGGACUGAGACACGGCCCAGACUCCUACGGGAGGCAGCAGUGGGGAAUCUUGCGCAAUGGGCGAAAGCCUGACGCAGCGACGCCGCGUGAGGGAUGACGGCCUCGGUUGUAAC
rnacentral:rRNA from 1 species